rnacentral:rRNA from 1 species
UACGUAGGGUGCAAGCGUUGUCCGGAAUUAUUGGGCGUAAAGAGCUCGUAGGCGGUUUGUCGCGUCGAAUGUGAAAACCCGGGGCUCAACCCCGGGCCUGCAUUCGAUACGGGCAGACUAGAGUUCGGUAGGGGAGACUGGAAUUCCUGGUGUAGCGGUGAAAUGCGCAGAUAUCAGGAGGAACACCGGUGGCGAAGGCGGGUCUCUGGGCCGUAACUGACGCUGAGGAGCGAAAGCAUGGGGAGCGAACAGG